ACCCGCUGAACUUAAGCAUAUCAAUAAGCGGAGGAAAAGAAACUAACAAGGAUUCCCCUAGUAACUGCGAGUGAAGAGGGAAAAGCUCAAAUUUAAAAUCUGGCAGCUUUGCUGUCCGAGUUGUAAUUUAGAGAAGUGUUACCCGCGCUGGACCGUGUAUAAGUCUCCUGGAAUGGAGCGUCAUAGAGGGUGAGAAUCCCGUCUUUGACACGGACUACCAGGGCAUUGUGGUGCGCUCUCGAAGAGUCGAGUUGUUUGGGAAUGCAGCUCUAAAUGGGUGGUAAAUUCCAUCUAAAGCUAAAUAUUGGCGAGAGACCGAUAGCGAACAAGUACCGUGAGGGAAAGAUGAAAAGAACUUUGGAAAGAGAGUUAAACAGUACGUGAAAUUGCUGAAAGGGAAACGCUUGAAGUCAGUCGCGUUGGCCAGGGAUCAGCCUUGCAGAAUUCUGUGAGGUGUACUUCCUGGUCGACGGGUCAGCAUCAGUUUCGACCACUGGAAAAAGACUUGAGGAAUGUGGCACCUCCGGGUGUGUUAUAGCCUUUUGUUGUAUACAGUGAUUGGGACUGAGGAACUCAGCACGCCGCAAGGCCGGGUUUCGACCACGUUCGUGCUUAGGAUGCUGGCAAAAUGGCUUUAAGCGACCCGUCUUGAAACACGG
rnacentral:rRNA from 1 species